AACUGCCGUGGUCAUGCUCACAAUCACUAAUGGUGCACAGAGUCUUAUGCAUCUCAACCAAAGAUCGACGAAUACGUCGCACAUCAAAUAAUCGGAAGCUUCCCGGACAUCCAUCUACCAUGUUAACAGAGGAAUUACCAUGAGCAGGCAAUGGGUUAGCUUUAACAUUUGGCGCACGGUCCUCAAAGGACACCAUCCCACUCU
rnacentral:lncRNA from 1 species